UCUUGCAACUCGUCCGUUUGAAUACUAAGUUGUUCCAUUCAGUCGGACAGACCGCGCAU
rnacentral:sRNA from 1 species